AACGAUGAAACUUAAAUGAUUUCUUCGGAAUGAACUUAAGUGGAUUAGUGGCGGACGGGUGAGUAACGCGUGAGUAACCUGCCUUACACAAGGGGAUAGCCGUUGGAAACGACGAAUAAUACCCUAUGAUGUUUCUAUCUCGCAUGAGAUAUUAACCAAAGUGUUAGCGGUGUAAGAUGGACUUGCGUCUGAUUAGCUAGUUGGUGAGAAAAAAGCCCACCAAGGCAACGAUCAGUAGCCGGCUUGAGAGAGUGUACGGCCACAUUGGGACUGAGACACGGCCCAGACUCCUACGGGAGGCAGCAGUGGGGAAUUUUGCACAAUGGGGGAAACCCUGAUGCAGCGACGCCGCGUGAUUUAGAAGGCCUUCGGGUUGUAAAAAUCUUUUGUAUAGGAAGAAAAUGACAGUACUAUACGAAUAAGGUCCGGCUAAUUACGUGCCAGCAGCCGCGGUAAUACGUAAGGACCGAGCGUUGUCCGGAAUCAUUGGGCGUAAAGGGUACGUAGGCGGGUCAUUAAGUUAGAAGUCAAAGGCUAUAGCUCAACUAUAGUAAGCUUCUAAAACUGGCGACCUUGAGUAAUGGAAGGGAAAGUGGAAUUCCUAGUGUAGCGGUGGAAUGCGCAGAUAUUAGGAGGAAUACCGGUGGCGAAGGCGACUUUCUGGCCAUUAACUGACGCUGAGGUACGAAAGCGUGGGUAGCAAACAGGAUUAGAUACCCUGGU
rnacentral:rRNA from 1 species